rnacentral:hammerhead_ribozyme from 1 species
ACACUGCUGAAGAGUCCUACAAUAGGACGAGACGGUCGUCCAGUGC